GACGAAUAGCGUUCUUUUUCUUUUCUUUCCUUAUACUUAAAUUUUCUUACUAGUAGGAGAUAAGAUGAAAGCAAUUCUAUUAAAAGAAGUUUUAGGGAUUGAAAGAUUGUCUUUGAAAGAUUUGUGCCAGCACUUGCGGUCAUACAUUCAUGGUGAAGAAAAGCUAUUUUAUUCAUUUUUCCUUCUUAUUUUAUUUUAAUUUUAUUAAUUUUAUGAUUCGGUGAAAUGGUCAUAAAAAAAAGAUUUGAGUAGAAGAUAAAUAAAGACAUAGAAAAACUAGGAUUAGAUACCCUACUAUUCUCUGUAAUGAAAGUGAAUGGUAAUAAUAAAGAGCAUGGCGGUCUUUUAUCUCGUCAGAGGGACAUGCAAUAAAAACGAAUUUGCACGAUCAUCUGUCCUAUCCUUGAAUAAUUUACAUUUUGUACACCGCUGUUUGAAAGAAAUUUCAUAAAGAUUCAUUCUUUUUUCUCUUAAAGAAAUAAGGCAAGUUAAGGUGCAGAUUAUGGUUAGGCGACUGUGUGUUCCAUUAAUAAUUUUAGGAUGGGAAUGGGAAGAAUUUCCUUGAAAUAGAAUUUGAUAGUAAGUUUAAUUGACUAUAUUACACUGAAGAAGGGCUAUUAAAGGUGUACAGAUUGCCCGUCACUCUGAGCUUUAAUUCGGAGAAGUCGUAACAAAGUUGAUCUACUGGAAUGU
rnacentral:ncRNA from 1 species